AGCUUUGCGCAGUGGCAGUAUCGUAGCCAAUGAUGUUUAUCCGAGGCGCGAUUAUUGCUAAUUAAAAGGUUUUCUAAUUUAAAGUAUACAUUAAUGGGACUCCUGGAUGGCUCAAUUCGUUAAGUGUUUGACUUCGGCUCAGGUCA